rnacentral:rRNA from 1 species
GCAGUCUGCAACUCGACUACAUGAAGCUGGAAUCGCUAGUAAUCGCGAAUCAGAAUGUCGCGGUGAAUACGUUCCCGGGUCUUGUACACACCGCCCGUCACACCAUGGGAGUCAGCAACGCCCGAAGCCGGUGACCCAACCGAAAGGAGGGAGCCGUCGAAGGUGGGGCCGAUAACUGGGGUGAAGUCGUAACAAGGUAUC